rnacentral:lncRNA from 1 species
GAAAGAAACGCCGAACGGGGGAACCUCGGCGGGUUUUUGGGGUAAGUUUUUGAUUUUGGUGUGUCCGAGAGAGGCUACUCCGUGGGGCGCCAUCUCAAACCCUAGAGAUUCUUGUGAGAGGACUCUCUGCUGCAUUAAAUCCCAAAAGAUCCCAAGAUCUCCUCUCCGAUUCUUUGAUAGCUGGCUCCCAUUUCCCCCAUCAAAACCUCAUUUUUCUGCUCGUUUCUGUGCUGCUUCCCUUCUCCUGAUCCGGAAUUCAGGUACAUUUCUUUCUCCAAGAUCGCUUUUUUAUCUUAUUGGGUUGGUGAAUGAACUCGUGGUGAGCUAAUAGGGUUAAAUGCUGCUUUUAAUGUGCCACUUUAGAUGAUUCAUGUGUGAAUUUGAUGCUGAAUCAUGGAAAAAGAUUGUUUUUUUAUGGGUUAAAGGAUAGGAGAUCUUCUUUAUCUUAAUGUGUAAUGCGCGUUUUAGUUACUGGUGCUAAUCAUUGGAGUUUUGAGGAUGCUGUGAUACCGGUAAGAAAUUCUUUUAUCCUUUCAUCUCGCCUAUGCUGCUAUUUUGAUAGGUUUAUGAUUUUUUGUGUGCGGGUAUAAUUUGAUGCGGAAUUACGGGGCCCCAAAAAUCCUGGGUUUUGGAUGACUAUUUUCUCUUCUUUUCUUUAUUUAUAUGGAAACAGCAUGCGUGCAGCUUUUGGUUUUUCUUAAGGUGGACUUUGACACAAUGACACUAACGAGUUUUGUCCUUCACUCAAGCAG